UCAUAUGGCUCAGUCAGUAGAGCAUGAGGCUCUUCAUCUCUGGGUUGUGGGUUCGAGCCCCACAUCGGGCAAAA